UACUAGAGUAGCACUCGCAUAUCAAUAAGCGGAGGAAAAGAAACUAACAAGGAUUCCCCUAGUAACGGCGAGUGAAGCGGGAAGAGCUCAAAUUUGAAAUCUUAAAGGGUUUCCCUUUACGAAUUGUAGUUUAAAGAAGUGUUUUCUGUUGAGGUUUUGGUAAAAGUUCUUUGGAAUAGGACAUCAUAGAGGGUGAGAAUCCCGUAUUUGACCUUUACUUUCAACUUUGUGAUACACUUUCAAAGAGUCGGAUUGUUUGGGAAUGCAGUCCAAAAUGGGUGGUAAAUUUCAUCUAAAGCUAAAUAUUGGCGAGAGACCGAUAGCGAACAAGUACCGUGAGGGAAAGAUGAAAAGAACUUUGAAAAGAGAGUUAAACAGUACGUGAAAUUGUCAAAAGGGAAGCGUUUGACACCAGUGUUGUUUUUCUGAAAAUCAAUUAAAGAACUGUUUAUGCUAAGCUGUUUAGACUUUAUCAGCUAUCUGUUUAGUUUUGAGCUUUUCUUUAAUGCACUUUUCAGUUAACAAGUCAACAUCAAUUUCUUUUGCUGUAAAAAAGCUUGAGGAAGGUGGCUUGAGAUUCGUCUUAAGUGUUUAUAGCCUCUUGCCUAUGCAGUCGGAGAGAUUGAGGUCUGCAGCGUAGAUCCUUCGGGGCUAAAUGCAUUUGUGCUAAGUUAUAGCAUUUUAUAGACAACUUGUUGACUAUGAUUUGUCUUGCUAGCUUACUCGCUUAUGUUAUUUUACCUACGCUUAGGAUGUUGAGUAGCGACAUACGCAC
rnacentral:rRNA from 1 species